rnacentral:rRNA from 1 species
AUUGAACGCUGGCGGCAGGCCUAACACAUGCAAGUCGAACGAGUGGCGGACGGGUGAGUAAUGUCUGGGAAACUGCCUGAUGGAGGGGGAUAACUACUGGAAACGGUAGCUAAUACCGCAUACCAUCGGAUGUGCCCAGAUGGGAUUAGCUAGUAGGUGGGGUAAAGGCUCACCUAGGCGACGAUCCCUAGCCGGUCUGAGAGGAUGAACGGGCACAUCGGGACUUGGACACGGCCCCGACUCCUACGGGAGGGAGCCGUGGGGAAGUUUCCGAAAUGGACGACAGUCUGACGGAGCAACGCCGCGUGGUUGAUGACGGCCCUCGGGUUGUAAAGCGCGUUAAUCGGGACGACGGUACCGGAAUAGAAAGCCACGGCUAACUCCGUGCCAGCAGCCGCGGUAAUAC